UUGGACAACCUACGUGGAAAGGUUUCCCAUGAAGCACUUGAUUUGCUGGAAAAAGAGCUACUGAGGAAGAUGGAUGUGUUGCGGAAACUUAACGCAUCAUGUGGUUGCCAUAUGUGGCUUAGCAAAGGAUUGCCGUGUGCUUGUAGGCUGGAAAACUACACACGUACAGGGCGUAUAAUACAACUCGACGAGAUAGAUGUAUUCUGGCGUAAGCUUGACUUGCUCCCUUGUAAACUGGUAGACGAGGAGGUCGAUAUUGUAGCAGAGCUCAAUAAUGUGCGGCAACAUUUAGAGGCGCAGUCCCCCGUUCAGCAAAAGAGUAUGCUUUCAAAGAUAAAAGCGGUUUUCACCCCGAAAUCGUCAACCAAGAAACCACCGAUCGUCCAGCAAAACACUCGCG
rnacentral:lncRNA from 1 species